rnacentral:rRNA from 1 species
ACGUAGGCAGCAAGCGUUGUUCGGAGUUACUGGGCGUAAAGGGUGCGUAGGCGGUCCCUUAAGUUCGGUGUGAAAUCUCCCGGCUCAACUGGGAGGGUGCGCCGGAAACUGAGGGACUCGAGUGCGGGAGGGGAGAGCGGAAUUCCUGGUGUAGCGGUGAAAUGCGUAGAUAUCAGGAGGAGCACCGGUGGCGAAGGCGGCAUCCUGGACCGACACUGACGCUGAGGAGCGAAAGCCAGGGGAGCAAACGGGA